UCGUUAAUGGUAGCACGGGGCAACCACCUGAGUCGGCCCACCAGAAUACAAAGACGGUGGUCUGGUGAGACCGUCUUUGUUUUUAAAGUACUUUCACGUGCCAGCCACGUGAUUUGAGGAUUCAAAAUCCAAAGACGGUUGUAUCCAGAUACCCGUCUUUGGAUUGUUGGUGGUUUCACGUGUAGGCCACGUGAUUGGAGGCGUUCAAGUACCACGACGGUCCUCUCGAACACCCGACUUUGUAUCGUUAAUGGUUUCACGUGGAGGCCACGUGAUUGGAGCCAUUAAAGUACAAAGACGGUCUUUGGCCAAAAGCCGUCUUUGUAUGGUUACAGUAUAAACACGUAAUCAUCUUCGUCAUUUAGUUACGAAGACGGUCUUGCCCUAGACCCGUCUUCGUAUUUGAUGCGUCAACAUACAAAGACGGGUUUGUUAGAAGAGCCGUCGUUGUAUGUUUUGUACAGACACGUGGCGGGCGUCAUUCAAAGACGGUCUUUUCUAGGACCCGUCAUUGUAUCCCAAAUUGUAUCACGUUUACGGCACGUGCUUGUUACUUUCUCUUACUUUGGCGCGCCGUAUCACUUCUUUGCUCCAUUUUUCGACUACUUGCCCUUACUUUGGCGCCCUAGCUACACAGACCUUCUUCUCCGACAAAGAGCUUCGUCUCCGACAAACAGCAUCUCGUGUCCGUUGCCUGUUGUUCCGUUUGCAGCCGCCGCCGACAAAGGCCCUUUGUUGUUGUUGGUUGUCUUCAUCGUGGUGUACAUCAUAGUGUUUAAGGAAGAUAAGGUGGUUCCAUAAGUGGGGUUUAAAAUCCAAAGACGAGCUUCGGGAACGGCCUGCUGCCAUCCUUCAUCAGUGGUGUCAUCCUGUGCCACAUUAUCAGUUUCGUUGAGCAUCGUUUGGUCUAUUGUGCAAGUUAGUACACUGAACUUCAUGAAACCCCCUAUGUUUAAUUUGAGCUUUAGAUUUGCUGUCUCCAUCCUUAGUUAUGUCUGUAAUUGAAUAAACUCGAAUUAUUUAUAAUGAAACAUCAACAUGUCCACUUUGAGACAUCUCAGCAAAUUAAAAUAAUAAUAAUGAAACAUCUCAACAAUUUUUUCAGGAUUGAGGGGGUGAAAAGUUCAAUUCUAGACAAAACAUAUAUAUAGACUGACACAGUUCUGAAGAGUUGUCAAUAAACGAUAACCCUACCACGUAUUGUAAUAUCUAUAAAGUAUAAACACAUUUAACGAAUAUACAUGUACCCUAAAAUUAAAAUCAAACUACAGUAGCGCAAAUAUAUAUACCUUCUUGCUUGUCUCUCAACUUCAACCAGGGUCAAUUAUGGGAAAGUCCAUCAUGCCUGCGCCAUAUUGAUCUCAAUAAUUCAAGGAAAAACCUAUAUUUUUCCAACCCUUGGAUUUCCUUCAGUCUAAUUUCACAUAUAAAUACUAUUACUCAAUUAGUAAUGGAAACAAUAUGGAGGACAUGCUGUAAAUCAUUGUCACUGCUUGUCUACCUAGAAGCUCUUCCCAGUGUUACUUUCAAAUCUUGCUUUCUUUGCAUCCAUUGUUGAGCGAAUAUAAGAGCCAUCAACCUGAA